rnacentral:rRNA from 1 species
UGAUCGCCUGUUUAUCAAAAACAUCUUUUCUUGUUAGUUUUUGAAGUAUGGCCUGCCCGCUGACAUUUGGUGUUGAAGGGCCGCGGUAUUUUGACCGUGCAAAGGUAGCAUAAUCAUUAGUUCUUUAAUUGUGAUCUGGAAUGAAUGGCUUGACGAGGCACGGGCUGUCUUAGUGUUGAAUGUUUUAUUGAAUUUGGUCUUUGAGUUAAAAUUCUUAGAUGUUUUUGUGGGACGAGAAGACCCUAUAGAGUUUGACAUUUGGUUUAUUUACUUGUUUGUUGUUUGUUUAUUUUUGGUGAGUGGGCUUUUUGUUUUGUUGGGGUGAUGGGAGGAAUGUACUUAACUCCUCUUAGUUUUGGUUAUAUUGAUUUAUAAUUGUUUGAUCCAUUUAUUUUGAUUAUAAGACUAAAUUACCUUAGGGAUAACAGCGUUAUCUUCCUUGAGAGUUCUUAUCGGCAGGGGGGUUUGCGACCUCGAUGUUGGAUUAAGGUGAAUUUUUGGUGUAGGGGCUGAAAGUUGUAUUAGGUCUGUUCGACCUUUGGAAUCUUACGUGAUCUGAGUUCAGACCGG